rnacentral:tRNA from 1 species
AAGAAUUUAAGUUAAUAAUAAACUUUUGACCUUCAAAGCCAAACACAGGACAAUAAGCCUAAUUCUUA